UGCCUUUGUUAAUACCUUCAUUUACUGCAUUAAUACAGCAAUUUGUGCGUCUAUGGUAACCACAGAACGUGAAGAGCUGGACUCUGUUAAUGGAGGUGGGGGAGGAAUAUCUUUCCGGUGGAAAGACUGCCUCAUAGAUUCUGUUGAGUGUUGAGCUAUGAUUUUUGUCAUGACCCCCUACUUGGCGCACCAAUCUGUUGCGAUCAAUCUUCUGUUGCGCCC
rnacentral:lncRNA from 1 species